rnacentral:rRNA from 1 species
AGAGCUUGAUCCUGGCUCAGGAUGAACGCUAGCUACAGGCUUAACACAUGCAAGUCGAGGGGAAACGACAUCGAAAGCUUGCUUUUGAUGGGCGUCGACCGGCGCACGGGUGAGUAACGCGUAUCCAACCUGCCCACCACUUGGGGAUAACCUUGCGAAAGUAAGACUAAUACCCAAUGACGUCUCUAGAAGACAUCUGAAGGAGAUUAAAGAUUUAUCGGUGAUGGAUGGGGAUGCGUCUGAUUAGCUUGUUGGCGGGUAACGGCCACCAAGGCGACGAUCGAGUAGGGGUUCUGAGACGGAAGGUCCCCCAGAUUGGAACUGAGACACGGUCCAAACUCCUACGGGAGGCA